AACGCACAUUGCGCCCGCCAGCAUUCUGGCGGGCAUGCCUGUUCGAGCGUCAUUUCAACCCUCGCAGCCCAUCUGGGCAGCGGUGUUGGGGAACGGCACCACCGGCGGAGGCCCUCAAAGGGGUCCCCCAAGCCGGCGCCGCCCCCGAAAUACAGUGGCGGUCUCGCUGCAGCCUCCCUUGCGUAGUAGCACACCUCGCACCGGAGCGCGGCGCGGCCACGCCGUAAAACCCCCGACUCUCUGAGUUUGACCUCGAAUCAGGUAGGAAUACCCGCUGAACUUAA
rnacentral:misc_RNA from 1 species